rnacentral:rRNA from 1 species
AUGGAGGAGAUGGGGGAGGAGAGCAGCAGGUAUCCAUGGCAGGACUACGACCUGGGCUUCGGGGAGGAGCUCAUGAGGGAGCUCCUCGACCAGACGACGACGGCGCCAUCGGCAACACCAACGGCGGCCGGCGCCGCAAGCGCUGAUAAUUCUUCUUCUUCCGACAAGGGGAUUGGUGACGAGGAGGAAGGGGCGGUGGGACGCCGGGAGUCCAUGGUGAACAGGCUCAUGUCGACGGUCUACUCCGGGCCCACCCUCAGCGACAUCGAGAGCGCCCUCUCCUUCACCGGCGCCGGCGCUGGCGACCUGCUGGACGGCCGCAGCAAGUACCACUACAGCCCCUCCAGCCCAGUGGUUUUCUCGCCGGAGAAGGUGCUGGGCAAGAUGGAGAACAAGUACACGAUGAAGAUCAAGAGCUGCGGCAACGGGCUCGCCGACGAUGGGUACAAGUGGAGGAAAUACGGCCAGAAAGCCAUCAAGAACAGCCCCAACCCAAGGAGUUACUACCGGUGCACGAACCCGCGGUGCAACGCGAAGAAGCAGGUGGAGCGCGCCGUCGACGAGCCGGACACGCUCGUCGUCACCUACGAAGGCCUCCACCUCCACUACACCUACUCCCACUUCCUCCAGCAGCAGACCACCCCUCCACCCGCCGCCGCCGCCGCCUCAAGCUCCAAGAAGCCCAAGUUGCACCCCGCCGCCGGCGCCAUUACAGACUCCCACCACGGGAGCACCCCUGUGGCAACAACCUCGCCGCCCUCUGCGGCCGUCGUCCCUGCCGGCGCCGGGGACAGCAGCGGCGACAGCGGCGGUAACGUGAUAGCCGACGCGGGCUUCCUGCUGGAGCACGCGGUGCCCAACUGCUCGCCGUAUGUGUUCGACGGCGGAUUGUUCGGUGAGGCCGGCGAGGAGCGGCGGAUGACGAGCGACGCCGGCGGGCUCCUGGAGGACAUGGUGCCACUGAUGGUCCGGCGGCCGUCGUGCAACUCGGCGGCCACCACCGCCAGCUCGUCCACGACGGUCGGCUCGCCCGCGGCGCCGGUGUCGUCGCCCUCCCCCUCCACGUCGUCCGUGUCCUGGACCCCCGCGUCGCCGUACAUCGACAUGGCCAUCCUCUCCAACAUCUUCUAG